AUGACAUACUAUAAUAAUAUAAUAUAGAGCUAUCACUGUCAGGAUUACAGAAUGAUCCAGCACGUAGAAUUGUGUAACACAGAGGACUGACAGGUAACGUAUACCGGACCUUAGAAUGGCCGGACUAACGUACCAAAGAAUAGUCAGGAAUAGCCGAGGUCGAGAGAAACAGAAAGAGACAAAACGAUAAGGAAAAGCAAGGAGUCAGUGAUGCCAGAAAACAGGGAAGUAAAAAACAAAUGCCAAAGUAAAAUAACCAGAAUUACCAGAAUCAAUAACGCGCUCUCGGACAACCACAAGGGAAACCACGGCAGGGCACUGAGCAGGAUGAGAACUGGGCCUAAAUACCCCUCCUCUAGAUUUGACAGGCUGUAACCGGCCUUUGACCCCAAAGUCAGUUACCAAGUUACCAUUUGCAUAAUUGCUGCUCAGCAUUAACCCUUCUGUGGAUUUGGUUGCUGCUCGGCACAACUUUUCCUGUGUGGACAGUAAAUGUCAUUAACCACAUUUUUAUAAGCGGAUGAAUAUGUGACAUUACCCUCCACCUGAAGAACACCCACCGGGCCGGCAGGACCAGGCUUGAGAGGAAAUUUGGCGUGAAAAUAGCGAAUCUUGCGGCCAGCAUGUAUAUCAGAUGCCGGAACCCAAGAAAGAUUGGCUGGUUCAUAACCUUUCCAAUCCACCAAGUACUAUAAAGUGCCCCGAGAAAACCUGGAAUCAAUUAUGGAGGAGACCUCAUACUCUUCCUGUCCAGAUACAACUAAGGGAGGAGGAUGGACACUUGAGACAGUAUAUUUAUUGCAAACAAGAGGUUUGAGCAAGGACACGAUAGGUAUUAGGAAUUUUCAAGGAGGCCGGAAGGGCCAGAGAGUAAGCAACAGGAUUGAUCCUACGAAGGACAUGAAAAGGUCCAAGGAACCUAGGAGCAAAUUUCAUGCUAGGGACUUUGAGCCUGAUGUUACGAGAAGAUAACCAAACCCUCUCACCCACUUGGUAAACAGGGUUGGCACCUCGUAUCAGCAAAAUGCUUGAAACGGUCAGCAGCAGUACCCAGAGCAGAUUGAACUUUAACCCAGGUAUCACGGAUGAAAGCCAGACAGUCAUCCAAAGCAGGAAUAGCCGUAUCAGAAAAAAUAGCUAGUAGGACAGCAGGAUGCCGGCCAUUAUUAACAAAAAAUGGACUAUGCCCAGAGGAGUCAUGGUCAGCAUUGUUCCUGGCAAACUCGGCCCAUGGUAAUAAUUCGGACCAAUUGUCUUGAGUGCUAUUAAGGAAACAACGCAAGUAUAACAUCAAAGACUGGUUAGCCCUCUCAGCUGUACCAUUGGUCUGGGGGUGAUAAGAGGAUGAAAAAGACAAUUCAAUCCCCAAUUGCUUAUUGAAGGCCCUCCAAAACCGGGAUACAAACUGAGAACCUCUAUCAGAUACGAUAUUGUGAGGAAUGCCAUGCAGACAGACAGACAAUCUCCCAUAUAAAGAUCAGUACCAGGUCUUGAGAUGACGGUAAUUUCUUGAGAGGGAUGAAGUGAGCCAUUUUAGAAAAACGGUCAACAACCAUGAGAAUAGUGGUAUAACCAUUAGAACUAGGAAGUUUUACAAUGAGAUCCAUAGACAAGUGGGACCAUGGGACCUCAGGAACGGGAAGAGGCUGUAACAAGCCACAAGGGAGGUUAUCAGGUACUUUGGAAACCUCACAAACAGAACAAGCCUGCACAUACUCCUUAAAAUCCUUCAUGAGGGAAUCCCACCAGAAUGACCUCAUGAUAGCAGAAGUGGACCAGCAGACACAUUGGCGUGAAACACUUUCAUGAUAUUAACCCUUUCCACCAAUGGAAUGAACAAUUUGUCCUGUGGUUUAUCGCAGGGCACCUGAGACUGAGCCUCCAUGAUGGAGCCAAGCAGCAGAGAGGACAAUGAAAGGAUAGUGGAAGCAAUGAUACAUUCCGGGGGAAUGAUAUGGGACUUUUCUUGCUCUUGUAUAGACUCAGUAUCAAACUGUCUGGAUAAGGCAUCAGCCUUGACAUUUUUAGAACCAGGUCUAUAAGUAAUAAGAAAAUUAAAGCAAGAAAGGAACAGAGACCACCUAGCUUGUCUAGAACACAAUCGUUU
rnacentral:lncRNA from 1 species